rnacentral:lncRNA from 1 species
AGACGCACACCCCGUGGCGGGGAGGGAGAGGAGCUGUAGAUAUUGGCGACAGAAUUCGUGGUCCGGGUGCCAGUUGGAGCUGGAAAUCUUCGGCUGGAACCUGCAUCGCACCCGAUGGGGCGGACAGUACACGUGCGUCCUCCGUUCCUUAGGCAGUCUGCAAUCAAGGUGCCCAUUUCUGCGGUCAGGUGUAACUGGAUCUCCGCUAGAGAAGAAAAAUGGUUUUAAGAACUGGGGAAGGGGCUGGUGAGAUGGCUCAGCGGGUAAGGGCACUGACUGCUCUUCCUAAAGGUCCUAAAUUCAAAUCCCAGCAACCACAUGGUGGCUCACAACCACCCAUAAUGAGAUCUAAUGCUCUCUUCUGAAGUGUCUGAAGUCAGCUACAGUGAGCUUAUGCUUAUGUAUAAUAAUAAAUAAAUCUUUUUUAAAAAUUAAAAAAAAAAACUGGGAGAGAGGGGGAAAACUUGGG